GGCAACUUGGCCGAGCGGUCUAAGGCGCCAGACUCAAGUUUCCCAUCAAAUUGGUCACUUCCCCGUAAGCGGGGCGCAUUCUGGUCUCGAAAGAGGCGUGAGUUCGAAUCUCACAGUUGUCA